rnacentral:rRNA from 1 species
UCUACGGGAGGCAGCAGUGGGGAAUAUUGCACAAUGGGCGCAAGCCUGAUGCAGCCAUGCCGCGUGUGUGAAGGAGGCCUUCGGGUUGUAAAGCACUUUCAGCGGGGAGGAAGGCGUUAAGGUUAAUAACCUUGUCGAUUGACGUUACCCGCAGAAGAAGCACCGGCUAACUCCGUGCCAGCAGCCGCGGUAAUACGGAGGGUGCAAGCGUUAAUCGGAAUUACUGGGCGUAAAGCGCACGCAGGCGGUCUGUCAAGUCGGAUGUGAAAUCCCCGGGCUCAACCUGGGAACUGCAUUCGAAACUGGCAGGCUAGAGUAUUGUAGAGGGGGGUAGAAUUCCAGGGGUAGCGGUGAAAUGCGUAGAGGUCUGGAGGAAUACCGGUGGCGAAGGCGGCCCCCUGGACAAAGACUGACGCUCAGGUGCGAAAGCGUGGGGAGCAAACAGGAUUAGAUACCCGUGUAGUC